rnacentral:rRNA from 1 species
UGGGGAAUAUUGCACAAUGGAGGGAACUCUGAUGCAGCGACGCCGCGUGAACGAAGAAGGCUUUCGAGUCGUAAAGUUCUUUUAUAUGGGAAGAUAAUGACGGUACCAUAAGAAAAAGCCCCGGCUAACUACGUGCCAGCAGCCGCGGUAAUACGUAGGGGGCUAGCGUUGUCCGGAUUUAUUGGGCGUAAAGAGCUCGUAGGUGGUUCGUCGCGUCUGUCGUGAAAGCCAGCAGCUUAACUGUUGGUCUGCGGUGGGUACGGGCGGGCUUGAGUGCGGUAGGGGUGACUGGAAUUCCUGGUGUAGCGGUGGAAUGCGCAGAUAUCAGGAGGAACACCGAUGGCGAAGGCAGGUCACUGGGCCGUUACUGACACUGAGGAGCGAAAGCGUGGGGAGCGAACAGG